GAUGCACGCAUCUGCGCCUCUGACGCACUGAUGUGUGAUUGGUGCAGCAGAGCAACAGCGACUGCAAAGUGACGCGUUGUGGACACUUCCAUGUAGAGAUGAUUGGAUAAACACCGAGACGAGAGGCCACGCGUGAGUUUGCGGUGGUUAUCGGGGAAGCUUGUUUUACUCAUUAGAAUCUAUUUCUUUGUGGUGCCACCCACCAACAGCGCCCGCAUCCAGCCCCACCCCUGCUUCUCUUCUGCCUGACUCCCUCAGGAUAUUUUUAGAGCCCAUGAUGUGCCCUGUCAAAUCGCGUAACGGAAACAACCCCAGAGAGCCACAGAGGAGAGCUGCUGUGUAAUCUAAAGGGGGAAGCCUGCCGCCGAUGAGAUGAAAAUUGAAAUUAAUUUGGUGUUUUGCGUGUUGAUUGUGCUGUCCGGCACAACGCGGACAAGAGGUCAAAGCAGUGCUCUGCCCAAUGUCUUCACACCAGCUGUCUUCCUGAGUCAUCCUGGAAGCUCAGCAUCUUCUAACCUGACAGAGUAUCGUGGGAAUGAGUCCCCAGAGCAUGCACGUAUUCCUGCAGGCAGGGAUGAAUCCGCGGGUGAAACCACAACCCUCAGCGAGACAGAAGGAACAGUCCGUGCAGAGACUCUGACAGAUGCAGUACUUAAAACCCACUUGUUCACAGCAAUCCCCGCAGUACUUACAUCUCAGCACGCAGACCUCGGUACUCUAACUCCUUCAGCUGCCGCAGAGAGCCUUUCAUCAGCGCCGACAGUUCAGAGCACCACCCCUCUGCACCCUGCAGCUACAGAAGCCAAAACCCCUCUGACCAACCAUUCCCUCUCUACCUUUUCAUCUCAGCCAGCCCCAGCAGUGCACCACACAAGCUCCACAGCACCCACCUUCACCACAUGGCCACACUCUGAAUCUUUGAACACAGCUACCGCAUCUCCAGGUGGAGCCCCUGCUGGGUCAGUGUACAAGGAGGUCCAGUCUGUAAAUAAAUUUGGCGGUGAAGAGAGUCACCGUUCCAGCUCCCCUCUAGACCCUCUGCUGGCUGGUCUGCUGUCAGUGUUUAUUGUCACCACAGCUAUCAUCUUUGUCGUCCUCUUCCUCAAGUUCCGCCAGCGUACUAACCACCCGGAGUUCCAUCGUCUGCAGGACCUACCCAUGGAUGAUUUGAUGGAGGACACGCCACUGUCCAGGUACACCUACUGACAGAAGCUCCUGUUCUGUCAGUCACUUCCAUCACUCAGAGGACCGAAGCAAGUCUAACACCAAAGGAAGACCACUUUGGAUUUUUGGAGACAUUCAGUGUGCUGAGAACUCCCCACCCCGAUGGAAAUUAAGAUGACUGCGCUCCUGACUGACUCCUGCACAGCACUUUAAUAUGACACAAACGGUUACACUGCCCUCUAGGGGUGAUCUGAGGUAAUGUGGAUCAAGGUCGCAUGAAGUCCUCCGUAACUGUAAGAAUAGCCAGUAAGGCAGAAUGAAGGCUCAUGGGAAAGCUGCUCAAAACAAUCACAAUCCCUCGGGUGACCAAAUGUUAGUGAAGUGCAUUUUCAAAUCAAAUUGCCCAAUCUGUGUCAUGUGAAGCUAAGGUCUUGCAGAAUGUUGACAAAAAAAUAAACAGAUUUUACAAUUGAAAAGCCACAUCUUUGGAGAAACAGACACGCCAGGUCUCCAACAGUGGAAACCACUUUAUUUUUCCAAAUUGUAAUUUAGCCUGAAUUACAAAUGCAGAUUAUUUACUGUUGCAGUUUUUAAACAUGCAGUUAUGUUCACAAAGUCAUGGAAAUCUUGAAUUUAGUGAUUGCUUUUCUUUAAAUGUUUAGUCUGCCAGUGUUUACUAAGGAGAUACCCUGCUAAGCCAAAUACUUAGAUAUCUGUAAAUUGUAAAACUCACUUAGUAAAAGUGUUGUUCGCACAUAGUGGAGAUUUGAGAGCAGCAUUGGAAUCAUUUUAAGGGUCCUUCAUCUGGACUGGUUGGAAUGCACUGCAAAUACAGUGGAACGAAGCUCUGAUGUUUUAACUUGGUUACUUUACUGCCUGCAGUGAUGUAUGAUGAAAUGCAAGAAUGACUUUCCUGUUUAAUGAAAAUAAAUAUCAAAUCUAUGUA